UACGUAGGGUGCGAGCGCUAAUCGGAAUUACUGGGCGUAAAGCGUGCGCAGGCGGCUUUGCAAGACAGAUGUGAAAUCCCCGGGCUAAACCUGGGAACUGCAUUUGUGACUGCAAGGCUAGAGUACGGCAGAGGGGGAUGGAAUUCCGCGUGUAGCAGUGAAAUGCGUAGAUAUGCGGAGGAACACCAAUGGCGAAGGCAAUCCCCUGGGCCUGUACUGACGCUCAUGCACGAAAGCGUGGGGAGCAAACAGG
rnacentral:rRNA from 1 species